UACGGGGGGAGCAAGCGUUGUUCGGAUUUACUGGGCGUAAAGGGUGCGUAGGUGGUGAGGUAAGUCGGAUGUGAAAUCUCCGGGCUCAACCCGGAAAUGGCAUUGGAAACUACCUUGCUGGAGGAUUUGAGGGGGGAUUGGAAUACUUGGUGUAGCAGUGAAAUGCGUAGAUAUCAAGUGGAACACCAGUGGCGAAGGCGGUUCUCUGGGCCUGUACUGACGCUGAGGAACGAAAGCGUGGGGAGCGAACGGG
rnacentral:rRNA from 1 species